CUGCCCUCAAGCACGGCUUGUGUGUUGGGUGUGGUCCCCCCGGGGACCUGCCCGAAAGGCAGCGGCGACGUCCGUCUGGUCCUCGAGCGUAUGGGGCUUUGUCACUCGCUCGGGAAGGACCUGCGGGGGUUGGUCACCACCAUAUUUUACCAC
rnacentral:misc_RNA from 2 species